AUGGAGAGGUAGUGACGGGAAGAGAGAGAGAUGGAGAGGUAGUGACGGGAAGAGAGAGAGAGGGAGAGGUAGUGACGGGAAGAGAGAGAUGGAGAGGUAGUGACGGGAAGAGAGAGAUGGAGAGGUAGUGACGGGAAGAGAGAGAUGGAGAGGUAGUGACGGGAAGAGAGAGAGAUGGAGAGGUAGUGACGGGAAGAGAGAGAGAUGGAGAGGUAGUGACGGGAAGAGAGAGAGGGAGAGGUAGUGACGGGAAGAGAGAGAUGGAGAGGUAGUGACGGGAAGAGAGAU